AUUUAGCUUAAGUGAGAAAGUUUUAAAUUUUUGAUUUAAAGAUAUUGUUUUAAUUUCUA
rnacentral:tRNA from 1 species